UGUUUCUUAAAAAUAAACUUUGGUUAAAAUUCACAAUUCUAAACAGUCCAGCCUAUUUAAAACAUGAGGUCAGAUAAAUAUCAGGAUUUAAAAGUGAACUCAGGUGCUUCUUUGUUCAAAUAUUUUAAAUGUAUACUAAAAUGACUACAGACUGUGCAUGAAGUGAUUGGAGACUAUAUGGCAGACAAAUACAAGAACUAUUCUGUAACACCUCAUCACUAGUGAAGAUUUCCUUGGGAAUAAACAGAGACAACUUUCUCACAUCUCCUGUCAUGAUAGGAAUGAUUUCUG
rnacentral:lncRNA from 1 species